UACGUAGGGGGCAAGCGUUGUCCGGAUUUAUUGGGCGUAAAGAGCGUGUAGGCGGUCAGGUAGGUCCGUUGUGAAAACUCGAGGCUCAACCUCGAGACGCCGAUGGAAACCAUCUGGCUAGAGUCCGGAAGAGGAGUGUGGAAUUCCCGGUGUAGCGGUGAAAUGCGCAGAUAUCGGGAAGAACACCCGUGGCGAAGGCGGCACUCUGGGACGGUACUGACGCUGAGACGCGAAAGCGUGGGGAGCGAACAGG
rnacentral:rRNA from 1 species